UGUAGCCAUAUCCUGUUGAAACACCUGUUCUCAUCUGAUCACUGAAGUUAGGCAAUGUUGAGCCUGGUCAGUAACUAAAUGGGUGACUGCAUGGGAAUAACAGGUGCUAUA